UACGGAGGAGGCAAGCGUUAUCCGGAAUUAUUGGGCGUAAAGCGUCCGUAGGUGGUUGGACAAGUCAGCUAUUAAAGAGUGGUGCUUAACACCAUAAAGGCGGUUGAAACUGUUUAACUAGAGUUUGGUAGGGGUUGCGGGAAUUCCCAGUGUAGCGGUGAAAUGCGUAGAUAUUGGGAAGAACACCGGUGGCGAAAGCGCGCGACUGGACCUGAACUGACACUGAGGGACGAAAGCUAGGGGAGCGAAAGGG
rnacentral:rRNA from 1 species